ensembl:lncRNA
AUGGGGUGGGGACCCAAAACCGGGGAUCGGAGCCCAAAACCGGGAGGGGGUAACAAACCGGGAGGGGUCCCAAAACCGGGGAGGGGGUCCCAAAAACGGGGAACGGAGCCCAAAACCGGGGAGGGGUCCCAAAACCGGGGAGGGGAGCCCAAAACCGGGGAGGGGACCCCAAAAACGGGGAACGGAGCCCAAAAACGGGGAGGGGUCCCAAAAACGGGGAGGGGUCCCAAAACCGGAGAGAUUCUCACGGUGGGGGGCGGGUCCGGUGGAACGGAGCCCAAAACCGGGGAGGGGUCCCAAACCGGGGAGGGGUCUCAAAAACGGGGAGGGGACCCCAAAAACGGGGAAGGGACCCAAAAACGGGGUGGGGACCCCAAAACCGGGGUGGGGAACCCAAAACCGGGGAGGGGUCCCAAAACCGGGGAACGGAUCCCAAAACCGGGGAGGGGUCCCAAAACCGGGGAGGGGACCCCAAAACCGGGGAGGGAUCCCAAAACCGGAGGGAUUCUCACGGUGGGGGGCGGGUCCGGUGGAACGGAGCCCAAAACCGGGGAGGGGGUCCCAAAACCGGGAAACGGAGCCCAAAACCGGGGAGGGGUCCCAAAAACGGGGAAGGGACCCCAAAACCGGGGAGGGGACCCAAACCGGGAGGGGACCCAAAACCGGGGAGGGGACCCCAAAACCGGGGAGGGGAGCCCAAAACCGGGGAGGGGACCCCAAAAACGGGGAGGGGAGCCCAAAACCGGGGAAGGGACCCCAAAACCGGGGAACGGAGCCCAAAACCGGGGAACGGACCCCAAAACCGGGGUGGGGAGCCCAAAACCGGAGGGAUUCUCACGGUGGGGGGCGGGUCCGGUGGAACGGAGCCCAAAACCGGGGAGGGGACCCCAAAACCGGGGAGGGGAGCCCAAAACCGGGGAGGGGAGCCCAAAAACGGGGAGAGGGUCCCAAAAACGGGGAGGGGUCCCAAAACCGGGAGGGGGUCCCAAAACCGGGGAGGGGUCCCAAAACCGGGGUGGGGAGCCCAAAACCGGAGGGAUUCUCACGGUGGAGGGCGGGUCCGGUGGAACGGAGCCCAAAACCGGGAGGGGGUCCCAAAACCGGGGAGGGGUCCCAAAACCGGGAGGGGGUCCCAAAAACGGGGAACGGAGCCCAAAACCGGGGAGGGGAUCCCAAAACCGGGGAGGGGUCCCAAAACCGGGGAGGGGUCCCAAAACCGGGGAGGGAACCGAAAACCGGGAGGGGGUCCCAAAACCGGGAGGGGUCCCAAAACCGGGAGGGGUCCCAAAACCGGAGGGAUUCUCACGGUGGGGGGCGGGUCCGGUGGAACGGAGCCCAGAACCGGGGAGGGGGUCCCAAAACCGGGGAGGGGUCCCAAAAACGGGGAACGGAUCCCAAAACCGGGAGGGGGUCCCAAAACCGGGGAGGGGGUCCCAAAACCGGGGUGGGGAGCCCAAAACCGGAGGGAUUCUCACGGUGGGGGGCGGGUCCGGUGGAACGGAGCCCAAAACCGGGGAGAGGGUCCCAAACCGGGAGGGGACCCCAAAACCGGGGAGGGGUCCCAAAAACGGGGAACGGAUCCCAAAACCGGGAAACGGAGCCCAAAACCGGGGUGGGGACCCCAAAACCGGAGGGAUUCUCACGGUGGGGGGCGGGUCCGGUGGAACGGAGCCCAAAACCGGGGAGGGGGAGCCCAAAACCGGGGAGAGGAGCCCAAACCGGGGAGGGGUCCCAAAAACGGGGAACGGAGCCCAAAACCGGGGAGGGAACCCAAAACCGGGGAGGGGACCCAAAACCGGGGAGGGGACCCCAAAAACGGGGAACGGAGCCCAAAACCGGGAGGGGUCCCAAAACCGGGAGGGGGACCCCAAAACCGGGGUGGGGAGCCCAAAACCGGGGAGGGGACCCCAAAACCGGGGUGGGGUCCCAAAACCGGGGAGGGGACCCCAAAACCGGAGGGAUUCUCACGGUGGGAGGCGGGUCCGGUGGAACGGAGCCCAAAACCGGGGAGGGGUCCCAAAACCGGGGAACGGAUCCCAAAAACGGGGAACGGAGCCCAAAACCGGGGAGGGGUCCCAAAACCGGGGAGGGACCCCAAAACCGGGGAACGGAUCCCAAAAUCGGGGAACGGAGCCCAAAACCGGAGGGAUUCUCACGGUGGGGGGCGGGUCCGGUGGAACGGAGCCCAAAACCGGGGAGGGGUCCCCGAAACGGGGAGGGGUCCCAAAACCGGGAGGGGGUCCCAAAACCGGGGAGGGGUCCCAAAACCGGGGAGGGGAUCCCAAAACCGGAGGGAUUCUCACGGCGGGGACCGGGGGGGGGACCCCAAAACCGGGGUGA